rnacentral:rRNA from 1 species
UGGGGAAUAUUGCACAAUGGGCGCAAGCCUGAUGCAGCCAUGCCGCGUGUAUGAAGAAGGCCUUCGGGUUGUAAAGUACUUUCAGCGGGGAGGCAGGGAGUAAAGUUAAUACCUUUGCUCAUUGACGUUACCCGCAGAAGAAGCACCGGCUAACUCCGUGCCAGCAGCCGCGGUAAUACGGAGGGUGCAAGCGUUAAUCGGAAUUACUGGGCGUAAAGCGCACGCAGGCGGUUUGUUAAGUCAGAUGUGAAAUCCCCGGGCUCAACCUGGGAACUGCAUUCGAAACUGGCAGGCUAGAGUCUUGUAGAGGGGGGUAGAAUUCCAGGUGUAGCGGUGAAAUGCGUAGAGAUCUGGAGGGAUACCGGUGGCGAAGGCGGCCCCCUGGACAAAGACUGACGCUCAGGUGCGAAAGCGUGGGGAGCAAACAGG